rnacentral:rRNA from 1 species
CAAUAGCGUAUAUUAAAGUUGUUGCGGUUAAAAAGCUCGUAGUUGGAUUUCUGCUGAGGACGAUCGGUCCGCCCACUGGGUGAGUAUCUGGCUCGGCCUUGGCAUCUUCUUGGAGAACGUUGCUGCACUUGACUGUGUGGUGCGGUAUCCAGGACUUUUACUUUGAGGAAAUUAGAGUGUUUCAAGCAGGCGCACGCCUUGAAUACAUUAGCAUGGAAUAAUAAGAUAGGACCUUGGUUCUAUUUUGUUGGUUUCUAGAGCUGAGGUAAUGAUUAAUAGGGAUAGUUGGGGGCAUUCGUAUUUAACUGCCAGAGGUGAAAUUCUUGGAUUUGUUAAAGACGGACUACUGCGAAAGCAUUUGCCAAGGAUGUUNUCAUUUA